UUUUUGGAGGGUCUACUGCUGUUCAAUCAGAAAAAGAACAAUUGGCACGGUACUGUGAAAUCUCAAGAAGUGAGUUUGAGGCUGAUCCGAAUGCCUGUGGUCCUCCACGCACCCCAGAGACAUAUGACGCGGCGGUUGCUGAUCUCCAGGCUGACAACAUCCAAGGCGUCAGAGGAAUAAAGUGGAAAUAUGGGUGACUCAGAGCGAACCUUCCUAGAUGUUGCCAUUAUGGAAGCCCUACCAGAACUUCCAGCGGUGAACAAAAACAUCCUGGAGGAGCACUUACAGUCCAUUGGAGUCGAGACCUCUGAGGAUCUACGCUUUGUAACAGAGGCAGAUUUAAUGACCGGACUAAGACCUGUGCAAGCCAGAAAGCUUAUUUCUAUUUGGAAACAGAAAUACCAAACUCCCGAGAACAGCUCAGGACAGCUAUCAUCUGUGGAAUCGCUGUCAUCGCUCUCUCUUUCACCCAGAAGUUCAACGUCAACCUCAUCCAGCAG